UAUUUAACCAGAAAGCCCCGGCUAACUACGUGCCAGCAGCCGCGGUAAUACGUAGGUGGCAAGCGUUGUCCGGAUUUAUUGGGCGUAAAGCGAGCGCAGGCGGUUUUUUAAGUCUGAUGUGAAAGCCUUCGGCUCAACCGAAGAAGUGCAUCGGAAACUGGGAAACUUGAGUGCAGAACAGGACAGUGGAACUCCCUGUGUAGCGGUGAAAUGCGUAGAUAUAUGGAAGAACACCAGUGGCGAAGGCGGCUGUCUGGUCUGUAACUGACGCUGAGGCUCGAAAGUAUGGGUAGCAAACAGGAUUAGAUACCCUGGUAGUCCAUACCGUAAACGAUGAAUGCUAAGUGUUGGAGGGUUUCCGCCCUUCAGUGCUGCAGCUAACGC
rnacentral:rRNA from 2 species